rnacentral:rRNA from 1 species
UACGGAGGGGGCAAGCGUUGUCCGGAAUCAUUGGGCGUAAAGCGCGUGUAGGCGGCCCGGUAAGUCCGCUGUGAAAGUCCAGGGCUCAACCCUGGGAUGCCGGUGGAUACUGUCGGGCUCGAGUCCGGAAGAGGCGAGUGGAAUUCCUGGUGUAGCGGUGAAAUGCGCAGAUAUCAGGAGGAACACCAAUGGCGAAGGCAGCUCGCUGGGACGUGACUGACGCUGAGACGCGAAAGCGUGGGGAGCAAACAGG